CAGUUCACCUUGGCCUAGCCCAGAGUCCCUCUAUGUCUCGGCCCAUGGUACCCUUUGUUAAACCUUCAAAUCUCAUAAGUCUCUCCUGGGGUCCUCCCACUACCCAUGCUCUAUACCUACAUGGGGUAUUUCAAAUACAUAUGGGUCACAAAAGUACAAGAAGGGCCCUUCUCACUGAAAUUCCACUCUGGAGAGAGAGGUGGAAGCCAGUGGGUUUCGUGGACUGGCCAUGGGAGCAGGGUGGGGGCUGCUCUUCCACUCCCCUCUCUCCCCUCUAUGGCUUUGUCCUUAAAUGCUCUCUGCCCUUUCCCAUCCAGUCCUUUUCCCUCAUCUUCCUCUGCCCAGCACUCCUCCUCCACAGAUCCAUUUCCAUCUCUCCAUUCACACCAGAACAAAAUAGGAAUUCUUUUUUUUUAAAAUAAUAAAGUUUUAUUUUAAAAUUUCACAUAAAAUGUCAAGAUAAAUUAUUAUAAAAGUGGGACCAAAGCCACAAACAGAAAUUCUAUUAAGCUAGUCUUCUAUUAAUUACAAGAAAAAAUACUUUUAUGAAACAUAGCUUUUACUGAUUGAGAAAUACCUUAAUCUUAAACUGAGAGCAAAAACAUUGUUAUCAUAUAAAGAAUGUUGCAUUUUUAAGAAAUCCUAGUGUUCAGUAUGGCACCCUGUGCACUUGAUACUUUGCCAAUAGGUCUGAUAGAACAAUUUCUAAUAUCCUCAGUUGGAAGAAAAACUGGUUAACAAAAAUAAACUAAGGGCAUUGAUCUAGAAUAUAACAAAAACAAUAUGAAAAAGGGACCAAAAAAAGAAAAAAAUGGAAACACAGCUACCUUAACAGAGAUGUCACAAAAACUGCCAAAAGUACCUUACUGCUUAUCUUUAAUCCAAAACUGUUUCUUCAAAGGAGUUGAAGAAACCUGGUUAGGAGCUAUCUUAUUUAUCUAAUCAUUGUGAAGCUUUCCUCCACUUUCCAAAUUUAGAAAUUGU
rnacentral:lncRNA from 1 species